rnacentral:rRNA from 1 species
AUUGAACGCUAGCGGGAUGCUUUACACAUGCAAGUCGAACGAGUGGCGGACGGGUGAGUAAUAUAUCGGAACGUGCCCAAUAGCGGGGGAUAACUACUCGAAACAGUGGCUAAUCCCGCAUACUAUUGGAUCUGCCGAUAUCGGAUUGGCUAGUUGGUGGGGUAAAGGCUCACCAAGGCAACGAUCCCUAGCUGGUUUGAGAGGACGACCAGCCACACUGGGACUGAGACACGGCCCAGACUCCUACGGGAGGCAGCAGUGGGGAAUAUUGGACAAUGGGCGAAAGCCUGAUCCAGCCAUCCCGCGUGUAUGAGAAGGCCUUCGGGUUGUAAAGUACUUUUGGCAGAGAAGCGUUAUCUGCAGAAUAAGCACCGGCUAACUACGUGCCAGCAGCCGCGGUAAUUC